rnacentral:rRNA from 1 species
GACGAACGCUGGCGGCGUGCCUAAUACAUGCAAGUAGAACGCAGUUGCGAACGGGUGAGUAACGCGUAGGUAACUGCCUGGUAGCGGGGGGUAACUAUUGGAGACGAUAGCUAAUACCGCAUACUACCAGAUGGACCUGCGUUGUAUUAGCUAGUUGGUGGGGUAACGGCUCACCAAGGCAACGGUACAUAGCCGACCUGGGGGUGGGGUCGGCCACACUGGGACUGGGAAACGGCCCAAGCUCCUUCGGGAAGGCGCAAUUGGGAAUCUUCGGCAAUGGGGGGAAACCUGACCCAGCAACGCCGCGGGAGUGAAGAAGGUUUUCGGGUCGUAAAGCUCUGUUGUUAAGGAAGCGGUACUUAACCAGAAAGCGACGGCUAACUACGUGCCAGCAGCCGCGGUAAUUC